UUAUUACCAUUAUCCUGGCCCUGAUAAAAAGUACAAUGACAAUAUCAAAAGUCUCCCAUUGCUGGGAGACGUUUUGAUCAGUU
rfam:Salmonella enterica subsp. enterica serovar Typhimurium str. LT2, complete genome.